GACAUUGGACAUUGACUCAAACAGGUACGCUCUUCAAAUCCUAAUUGGUGUUUUUGCAGUUAGAGAGAAAUUUGUUUUGUAAGAAACUGAGUAUAAAAUCUUGAGCUUCCUCAUUCUCUAUCAUUAAUCCUUAUGUUGAUUCAAAGACUAUAGUUAUGUCUUGCUAAGUAUAUCUAGAUACAUAUGCUUUGUUUCCUGUGUUGCUCUGUUUUCAAUGAUAUAUGCAUGUUGUGACAUCUACGGUCAAGAAUUUGAAAUAGACACAAGCUUUUUUUGUGAGAAUAUGUCUCUAAACUCUAAGGUAAGCAUUGUAAGAAACUCAUGAUUGUGACGAGUGAAAGAAUGGGUAGAUGUUGAUUUUGGCUUUUGAGACUUGAGCUUUAUUGUAGACCGAUGAUGAAAAAAGUACAAAGCGUGUGGACCUGUUUUCACACACUGCAUCAGCAAAAAUCCAAGAUUUGUG
rnacentral:lncRNA from 1 species